UAUAGCUUGCUUUACCGAAACAGGUGGCGCUGGCUACAAGAUUAAUACGCGCACAGGCGCUGGUACAUGGUUAUUCAAACUAUAAUACUCUAAUUCUAGGCUAUGUAGCCCAAGCUACCGCCCGUUCUAUAAAGGGUAAAGCCGCAGAAUCCAUCCAUCCAUCUUCAGCAUACAACGCCAACGUGCGCAAACAUUCUCAACACGUGAGAAAAAUAGCUUUCUACAAAGUUUCAGGACACCGUGAAGGGAAAAACGAGAAGAGGCCGAUAUAAUUUCGACACUUUUUCUCCGACACGCCACUGCACUUGAAAGAUGCAGCUCCCGU